rnacentral:lncRNA from 1 species
GGCUCCUUUCCUUAUAUGUCUAACCCUGGCCUGGAGCACUGGAGGAUGAGGUCCGCUGACUGCAGCGUCCAUCCUGGUCCUCCCCAGGCACUGUGGCCUCCCUCACAGCAUGGCUGCCUUGGGUACUCGGACUUCACGUGGAAGGCCAGGGCUCCGAGAGCAAAUGCCCCAGCAAGACAGAAGCUCAGCCGCCUUUGAUGACCUAGAAGCUAGGCAGCAUCCAUUGUACUGCCUUCUAUGGGUUGUGAGUGAGUCCCAAACCUGCCUUGACUCAAGGAAACGGAAUUAGGCUCUACGUCUUGACUAGGUAGUGGCGAAGUUCUGGAAGCACAUGAGUAGGAGAUACUGUGACGGUUUCAUCUUUGGAAAAUACCAUCUAGCACACCUGAAUCUGCUUUCAGGGGGUGUAAGGGGAUUUCCAUGGCAAAAUUUGAAGCCACAUGUGGUCACUGCUUUGUACUGAGGAAACAAAGUGCUCUGGGCAUCCAGAAAGGGGGUACGUUUUUUCUUACUGGGAUAAAUCUGGCUGCAUUUUAGCUAAUCCUGGAAAAUUGAUCGACAAAAGCAAAGGACCAAGAAAGCUGCUUAUAUCAGUGUCUCCUCCACCCUCAGCCUCCAGUAGCAUCCCUACGUUUUACAAUUUUAUUUAUGUCACUUUAAAUAAGGACAUUGAGAGGGAAAAGGCCUCAUCGACAUACCAACUACAGGCCAGGUGGACCUUCGGUGCACACACACCCCAGCGCCCACAGAGAUCCAGGCCUCCUGUGUAUGAAUGUGUGCCAUGAAUUUAGACCUAUUUCUCGCCUUCCGGGCUCUCUAUUCCUCAUCCUCCAUCCAAGUGGCCAUCUUGUGCAGGCCCUGAAAGCAGCAGAUCUCACCUGCAUUGGAGGAUGAGACGCCACAUGAAGAAGAAAGAAGACGCCACAGACAGCAGCGCAGUACCACCUUCCAGAGAUGUGAGUGUGACCGUCUUUGACCUUCUAGCCCAGCUGCUUUCCCUGAAUGCAAUGCAUGAGCAGGCCAGGCAAAACUAGAGAGGGAAGCUGCCCAGCUAACCCACAGAAUUAUGAGAGAUAAAAAAUCAUUGUCUUAAGCCACUAAGUCUGUUAUGCAGCAAUAUAUAGCAUUCAUUCAACUUUUGUCUCAUGAAUACUCUCAUUUCUUUUAUAAGUUCUUUUGUGGUUCAAAUUAGCUCAAAUCAGUUUCUGAUGCUUAUGACCAAAUGCCCCUAUGUGAUAGAUUUUGAGGGGUUAAGAAGCUUGCUCGGAUCACACAGCGGUAAGUAGCAGCACUUCAUCUUUAACCCACCUCUGGCCCACUCCCUUUCCAUAGGUCCUUGUUGCCUCCCUCCCUAAUCCCUUCCAGUCUAGUUUCCUCACUCAUUUUAGCAUCUUGAAGAUGCCUGACCUUUUGUAACAGGCACUUAGAAGAGGCAAUAAUCAAGCUGUGAGCUGGAAUACUGGGUUUCUCAUCCAAUAACCAGGUUGGCAGGUUGGUAACCAUACAAGGGACUUUUCAAACUGGAGAAUUAGUGUGCUGAGCACAAAGUGGUGAGUAUUUUGAGAGUUACUGAAAUAUAAUUGACAUAACAAUAAAAAUACAAUAUUUAAGUGCAUGUAUUUCAAGUGUACGAUUUGACAAGUUUGGUUAUAUUAUAUACACCUACGAAACCAUCACCACAAUUAAGAAAAUGAGCAUAGCUAUCACACACAAAAGUUUCCUUGUGCCCCUUGGUAAUUCCUCCCUCUCUCCUGCCCACAUCUCUCCUUUUCCCAGGCAAUCCCUGAUCUGAUUUCUGCCGCUAUCAAUUCGUUUGCAUUUCCUAGAAUUUUAAAUAACUGAAAACAUACAUUAAGAACUCUUUUUCUCUGGCCGAGUAUGGUGGCUCACGCCUGUAAUCCCAGCACUUUGGGUGGCCAAGGCGGGCAGAUCACCUGAGGUCAGGAGUUCGAGACCACCCUGGCCAACGUGGUGAAACCCUGUCUCUACUAAACAUACAAAAAUUAGCCAGGCAUGGUAAUGGGCAUCUGUAAUCCCAGCUACUCGCGAGGCUGAGGCAGGAGAAUUGCUUGAACCUGGGAGACAGAGGUUGCAGUGGGCUGAGAUCACGCCACUGCACUCCAGCAUGGACAACAGAGCGAGACUCCGUCCCC